rnacentral:rRNA from 1 species
AUUGAACGCUGGCGGCAUGCCUUACACAUGCAAGUCGAACGGUAACGCGGGGGCAACCCUGGCGACGAGUGGCGAACGGGUGAGCAACACAUCGGAACGUAUCCUUUGAGUGGGGGAUAGCUCGGCGAAAGCCGGAUUAAUACCGCAUACGCUCUUUGGAGGAAAGCGGGGGACCUUCGGGCCUCGCGCUUAAGGAGCGGCCGAUGUCGGAUUAGCUAGUUGGUGGGGUAAAGGCCCACCAAGGCGACGAUCCGUAGCGGGUCUGAGAGGACGGCCCGCCACACUGGGACUGAGACACGGUCCAGACUCCUACGGGAGGCAGCAGUGGGGAAUUUUGGACAAUGGGGGCAACCCUGAUCCAGCCAUGCCGCGUGAGUGAAGAAGGCCUUCGGGUUGUAAAGCUCUUUCGGCCGGAACGAAAUCGGUGGGUGAACAAUCCUGCUGGAUGACGGUACCGGAAGAAAAACACCGGCUAACUACGUG